UACGUAGGGUGCGAGCGUUAAUCGGAUUUACUGGGCGUAAAGCGUGCGUAGGCGGUUCGCUGUGUCCGAUGUGAAAGCCCCGGGCUUAACCUGGGAAAGGCAUUGGAAACUGGCGGGCUUGAGUGCGGCAGAGGGGGGUGGAAUUCCGCGUGUAGCAGUGAAAUGCGUAGAGAUGCGGAGGAACACCGAUGGCGAAGGCAGCCCCCUGGGUCGACACUGACGCUCAGGCACGAAAGCGUGGGGAGCAAACAGG
rnacentral:rRNA from 1 species